rnacentral:misc_RNA from 1 species
CAGGACUCGCAAGACUCCCGUAACCAUCGUGAACCUACCUCUUCGUUGCCUCGGCGGGUGCUCCGGCGGAACAGCCGGGGCGCUCCGCCCGCCGGCGGCCCACUACUCUGCCUCUCCGCGUUGGCAUCUCCGAGUCGUUAGCAAACGAAUCA